UUAAGUGACUAAGCGUACAUGGUGGAUGCCUUGGCAGUCAGAGGCGAUGAAGGACGUACUAACCUGCGAUAAGCUGUGAGAAGUCGGUAAGAGACGCUAUUACUCACAGAUUUCCGAAUGGGGAAACCCACUUAGCAUAAGCUAGGUAUCGUUGCAUGAAUACAUAGUGCAACGAGGCGAACCGGGAGAACUGAAACAUCUAAGUACCCCGAGGAAAAGAAAUCAACCGAGAUUCCCUCAGUAGCGGCGAGCGAACGGGGAUUAGCCCUUAAGUUUCUUGGAAGUUAGUGGAAUGGUCCUGGAAAGGCCAGCGAUACAGGGUGAUAGCCCCGUACANNNNNNNNNNNNGGGUGACUGCGUACCUUUUGUAUAAUGGGUCAGCGACUUACAUUUUGUAGCGAGGUUAACCGUAUAGGGGAGCCGUAGGGAAACCGAGUCUUAACUGGGCGUCUAGUUGCAAGGUGUAGACCCGAAACCGGGUGAUCUAGCCAUGGGCAGGUUGAAGGUUGAGUAACAUCAACUGGAGGACCGAACCCACUAACGUUGCAAAGUUAGGGGAUGACCUGUGGCUGGGGGUGAAAGGCCAAUCAAACUCGGAGAUAGCUGGUUCUCCCCGAAAGCUAUUUAGGUAGCGCCUCGGACGAAUACUACUGGGGGUAGAGCACUGUUUGGACUAGGGGGUCAUCCCGACUUACCAACUCCAUGCAAACUCCGAAUACCAGUAAGUAAUAUCCGGGAGACACACGGCGGGUGCUAACGUCCGUCGUGAAGAGGGAAACAACCCAGACCGCCGGCUAAGGUCCCAAAGUUCUGGUUAAGUGGGAAACGAUGUGGGAAGGCUCAGACAGCUAGGAUGUUGGCUUAGAAGCAGCCAUCAUUUAAAGAAAGCGUAAUAGCUCACUAGUCGAGUCGGCCUGCGCGGAAGAUGUAACGGGGCUCAAACCAGGCACCGAAGCCGCGGAUUCACACUUAUGUGUGAGUGGUAGGGGAGCGUUCUGUAAGUCUGCGAAGGUGUAUCGAGAGGUAUGCUGGAGAUAUCAGAAGUGCGAAUGCUGACGUAAGUAACGAUAAAGGGGGUGAAAAGCCUCCUCGCCGGAAGACCAAGGGUUCCUGUCCAACGUUAAUCGGGGCAGGGUGAGUCGACCCCUAAGGUGAGGCCGAAAGGCGUAAUCGAUGGGAAGCAGGUUAAUAUUCCUGCACGACUUGUAAUUGCGAUGGGGGGACGGAGAAGGCUAGGUGGGCCAGGCGACGGUUGUCCUGGUGAAAGUGCGUAGGUGGUGUUUCUAGGCAAAUCCGGAGACACAACACUGAGACACGAGACGAACGCACUACGGUGCGGAAGCCAUUGAUGCCCUGCUUCCAGGAAAAGCCUCUAAGCUUCAGAUUACAAGUCAUCGUACCCCAAACCGACACAGGUGGUCGGGUAGAGAAUACCAAGGCGCUUGAGAGAACUCGGGUGAAGGAACUAGGCAAAAUAGAACCGUAACUUCGGGAGAAGGUUCGCUCUUGACAGUGAAGUCCCUUGCGGAUGGAGCAGUUGGGAGUCGCAGUGACCAGAUGGCUGGGACUGUUUAUCAAAAACACAGCACUCUGCAAACACGAAAGUGGACGUAUAGGGUGUGACACCUGCCCGGUGCCGGAAGGUUAAUUGAUGGGGUUAGCGCAAGCGAAGCUCUUGAUCGAAGCCCCGGUAAACGGCGGCCGUAACUAUAACGGUCCUAAGGUAGCGAAAUUCCUUGUCGGGUAAGUUCCGACCUGCACGAAUGGUGUAACCAUGGCCAUGCUGUCUCCACCCGAGACUCAGUGAAAUCGAAUUCGCCGUGAAGAUGCGGUGUACCCGCGGCUAGACGGAAAGACCCCGUGAACCUUUACUACAGCUUGGCACUGAACAUUGAACCUACAUGUGUAGGAUAGGUGGGAGGCUUUGAAGGCGUGACGCCAGUUGCGCUGGAGCCGUCCUUGAAAUACCACCCUUGUAUGUUUGAUGUUCUAACGCAGGGCCCUGAAUCGGGCUCGCGGACAGUGCCUGGUGGGUAGUUUGACUGGGGCGGUCUCCUCCCAAAGAGUAACGGAGGAGCACGAAGGUUGGCUAAUCCUGGUCGGACAUCAGGAGGUUAGUGCAAUGGCAUAAGCCAGCUUAACUGCGAGACGGACAGGUCGAGCAGGUACGAAAGUAGGUCAUAGUGAUCCGGUGGUUCUGAAUGGAAGGGCCAUCGCUCAACGGAUAAAAGGUACUCCGGGGAUAACAGGCUGAUACCGCCCAAGAGUUCAUAUCGACGGCGGUGUUUGGCACCUCGAUGUCGGCUCAUCACAUCCUGGGGCUGAAGUCGGUCCCAAGGGUAUGGCUGUUCGCCAUUUAAAGUGGUACGCGAGCUGGGUUCAGAACGUCGUGAGACAGUUCGGUCCCUAUCUGCCGUGGGCGUUGGAUGAUUGAAGGGAGUUGCUCCUAGUACGAGAGGACCGGAGUGAACGAACCUCUGGUGUUCGGGUUGUCACGCCAGUGGCACUGCCCGGUAGCUAAGUUCGGAAUCGAUAACCGCUGAAAGCAUCUAAGCGGGAAGCGAGCCCUGAGAUGAGUCAUCCCUGACCCCUUGAGGGUCCUAAAGGGCCGUUGGAGACCACAACGUUGAUAGGUGGGGUGUGUAAGCGCGGCGACGUGUUGAGCUAACCCAUACUAAUUACCCGUGAGGCUUAACCAU
rnacentral:rRNA from 1 species